rnacentral:rRNA from 1 species
AUGUCCUUCGAUUUUGACGAUGAAGACCAGAACGUCCCUUAUGCAUAUUAUACACCAGGUGAUUUUAUUCCAUUAAGUUUUUUUAUUGGAAGCAUACAUAAAAGCAUCAUUUCAUUCACUGACAAAACCUGUCAAUCGACCGUCUUCCUGAUGCAUGCAGGGACCCUUCAGCGGGACACGGCCCAAAACGUGUGGCUGGUGCCGCACACAGCAACAAACAGGGCGCCACUGCAGCAGAACAAGCAGCAGGUGCUGCUGGAGCUCAUCGGUGCAUCUUCCACCAGCGAACGCUCCGGGUUGGACCUCGUGGCUGUCCUGGACAUCAGCUACAGCAUGACGGGUGAGAACAGGCUCGGCAGGAUGAAGACCGCCAUGCAGUUCGUCAUCAAGAAGCUCAGCCCCAACGACCGUCUCUCCAUCGUCACAUUCUCCGACGACGCUGAGAGGCGGUGCCAUCUUCGUUCCAUGACCCAGGCUUCGAAGGCACACCUGGAGGAUCUCGUCGACGGCCUGGGAGUCAUCAACAUGACCAACAUGAAAGCCGGCCUCGAGACUGGCCACAAAAUCCUCGACGACCGCCGUAUCGCCCGCGGCCGCGCUGCCAGCAUCUUUAUAUUGUCCGAUGGGGACCAGAACAAAGGCGAUGCUACGACUGUUGAUGUCAGCGAUGUGGCGGUCUACACGUUUGGUUUUGGUGCAGACUCCAACCACAAGGUGCUGGGGGAGAUCGCAAUGAAGAGCAAAGGAGGAACGUUCAACUUUGUAGAGGACGGGGAGAGUAUGAGCGAGCCGUUCUCCCAGAUCCUGGGUGGCCUUCUCAGCAUUGUCGUCCAGGACCUGAAGCUCACCGUGUCCCCAAACCCAGGCGACUCCACGAUAGAGAAGGUGAACGCCGGUCUCUACCUGCAAACCAAGGACACCAACACCGGCUCGGUAACCGUCAGCUUUGGCGAUCUCUUUGCUGCAGAACUACGCAACAUUAUGAUCGAUGUCCUCCUCCCUACCGUCCACAGGAGUAAGAACGUGACUGUCAUCAUCGCCAGUUGCACAUAUAGUAUCAACGGAAAACCCUUCGUCUCCCAUGAAUUUAGGGUCACUAUACGCCGCACCGGAUCAGCUGACCCUUCGUCUCCAAUUUCGGAGGCCGUGCUCACCGAGCAAGUCCGUCAAAUCUACAUAGAGGACUUACGGCAGGCGAUUACACUGGCAGACAGUGUGGGCCUCCAAGGAGCCAAUAACAAGCUGGUGGAAGCCAGGAACAACCUUCAACUUGAGCGGUCCAACUCCAUGAUUGACAUCCUCAGGGCCCAGCUGGAUAAGCUCAUCGAGUUGAUCAGCUCGGGAAUGGGGUUGAGGGCUCUCCGCGCAUGCCUGCUGUCGAUGAUGAUGUUGCAUGGCCGCCAGCGCGUCACGGAGACAGGCCCCGUCAUGGGCCAUAAGCUCUACGUGACGCAGUUCACGGACAUGUCCCGGAAGCAGGCCGGAGAUCAUGAGAAGGACCCCGCCAAGGUGCCGCCGCCAGCCUCUCAGGACGUCGACCAGGCGAAGAUAGUAAGAGAUCAGCAGGGCAUCAAGAGGCCGCCAGCCGUGGUGGAGGCGACCACCUGCAGCUGGAGGACCUGGUGGAGGGAUCGGAAAUCACAUCACGAGAGCUCUAGGUGGGCGAUGGCUAUCCUUUGCACGGUCCUCGCCAUCGCCAUGAUCGUGAUCGGCGUCACGCUGCUCGCCGUGUACCUCCUCAACAUGCCCAAGAUGCCGUACCUGGUGGUCUCCGACGCGCAGCUGGGGGCACUACGGUACGCCCAGCAGGACGGCACCAUCCAGUACCUUCAGCUGCCUAUCACCAUCCUGGCCGAGAACAACAACUCCAAGGCGGAUGCCACUUUCUCCCGUGUCGACCUCGCACUGCAAUUCCACGGAGUCGACGUGGCUCUCCUGCGGACGCCAGCGCCGUUCGUCGUGGCGGCGGAGAGCUCCCUCCCACUGCAGUACAACGUGGUGUCGACGGGACGGAGACUGGACCCAGCUGGGAUGCGGUCCAUGGACCAGUCGCUCAACGCCGGCAUGGUGCCGUUCGACCUGCGGGGCAAGGCACGCACGCGCUGGAAAGUGGGCAUCUUCCUCAAGGCUCACUUUUGGACGCGCAUCUCGUGCCGUCUACACUUCUUCCCCAGCAACAGCACCGUCAUGCCCACCGAUCUUCGCAGAUGCCGCUCUAGGUAA